GUGGAGCUGAAAUCAGUCGAAGAUACCAGCUGGCUGCAACUGUUUAUUAAAAACA
rnacentral:rRNA from 1 species